UGAGGAAUAUUGGACAAUGGGCGCAAGCCUGAUCCAGCCAUGCCGCGUGAGUGAAGAAGGCCUUAGGGUUGUAAAGCUCUUUCAGUCGUGAAGAUAAUGACGGUAGCGACAGAAGAAGCCCCGGCUAAUUUCGUGCCAGCAGCCGCGGUAAUACGAAAGGGGCUAGCGUUGUUCGGAAUUACUGGGCGUAAAGCGCGCGUAGGCGGCCUAGCAAGUUGGGGGUGAAAGCCCAGGGCUCAACCCUGGAAUUGCCUCCAAAACUGCUAAGCUCGAGGCCGAGAGAGGAGUGUGGAAUUCCUAGUGUAGAGGUGAAAUUCGUAGAUAUUAGGAAGAACACCGGUGGCGAAGGCGACACUCUGGCUCGGUUCUGACGCUGAGGCGCGAAAGCGUGGGGAGCAAACAGGAUUAGAUACCCCCGUAGUCC
rnacentral:rRNA from 1 species